AACCCGGCCGACAGAAGAUGGCGGAUGAGCAGCGUGCAGGGUUUUCUCCCUGUGGCUCACUCUCUCUUACUGUGCUGGGCGGUUGCUUCCUCUCCUGCUGCCCUUGGGAGUCAGACUCCAGGUUCUUCAGCCUGUGGCCCCUGGGGCUCUCGGGCCUUGGAGGACUGACUAGGAGCACACGGUGGGCCUCUCUGGUUUGGGGGCCUGGGACGUGGCGGAGCCCUGCAGCUUCUGUGCGGCCUGUUCUGGGCGUCGCGUUGAAACGCCAGCCAGUUCCCCAAGAUGGACGUAGAACUACUCUAGGAAAUUCCUCAAACACUGCCAAGUACUUCAUGGCUGAAAGCCAAAUAUUCAGUCCCCCUGGGAUUACAGGAGUGUUGAAGAAAUGUUGUGACACAUCAGAACACCGCGAAAUACAUGGACACUUUCAAAUCAUGGAAGACUCAAGAAGAAACUUUAAUUAGAAGGAAACAGGAAUAUUCAACGGACUCCCAAGACAAGAAUAUAGAUGUAUAUCAGAAGCUGAGCAUUGAAGUUGCUACUAGAGUCUCCCCGAGCCCUUAUUGGAUUCUCACUUCAGGAGCUGCUUUCAUUAUUUUGCCUCUCAGUUUCAAAAUAGACAAAGAACUCAACACUCAACAAUAAGAAAAUGAACAACUUGGUUGAAAAAUGGGCCAAAGACCUUAACAGACACCUCACCAAAGAUGAUAGACAGGUAGGAAAUAAACAUAUAAAAAGAUGCUGCACGUCAGAUGUCAUCAGAAAAGUGCAAUUAAAACAACAAUGAGACACCACUAUGCAUCUCCUAGAAUGACCAAAACCCAGAACACUGACACCAAAUACUCUUGAGGAUGUGGAGCAAUUCUCAUUGCUGAUGGGAAUGCAAAAUGGUACAGUCUUUUGGAAGACAGCUUGGAGGUUUCUUAUAAAGCUAAACUUGGAUUUACCAUACCAUCUACCAGCAGUGCUCCUUGGUAUUUACCCAGUGGAGCUGAAAAUGUAUGUCCCCACAGAAAAACAGGCACGUGGACGCUUACAGAAGUUUUACACAUAAUUUCCAAGACUUGGAAGCAACCAAGAUGUCCUUCAGUCGGUGAAUGGAAGAAUAAACUGUGGAACAAUCAGACCAUGGAAUAUUAUUCAGUGCUGAAUAGAAAUGAGCUAAGAAAGCCAUAAAAAAACAUGGAGGAAAAAAUGUUCAACACCAAGACUGAACCCUAAUGUAACCUGUGGACUUUGGAUGAUAAUGACGCAUCAAUGCAAGUCAUAAAUUUGGAAAAAUGUACCUCUCCUGGGAAGGAGUUGAUAAUGAGUGAGUCUAUGCAUGUGUAGGGGGAGGGGUUAUGUGAGAUAUUCAUGUACUUUCUGCCCAGUUUUGCUGUGAACCUAAAAUUACACUAAAAGUGGGCAAAGGACGUGAACAGACAAUUCUCAAAUGAAGACAUACAUGCAGCCAACAAAUAUAAAAUAAAGCCCAAUGUCACUGAUCAUUAGAAUAUUGCAUAUCAAAACCACAAUGAGAUACCACCAGAUGAUUAUUAAAAAGUCAAAAAAUAACAGAUACUGGCGAGGUUGUCAAGAAAAAGGAAUGCUUUUAUACUUUUGGUGGAAGUUCAACCACUGUGGAAGAUGGUGUAGUGAUUCCGCAAAGACUAGAGGCAGAAAUACCAUUUGACCCAACAAUCCCAUUACUGGGUAUAUACCCAAACAAGUAUAAAUUAUUCUGUUAUAAAGACACAUGCACAUGUAUGUUCAUUGCAGCACUAUUCACAAUAGCAAAGACAUAGAAUCAACCUAAAUGAUCCUCAGUGAUAGACUGGAUAAAGAAAAUGUGGUACAUAUAUACCAUGAAAUACUAUGCAGCCAUAAAAAGGAAUGAGAGUAUGUCCUUUGCAGUGACAUGACUGGAGCUGGAGGCCAUUAUUCUUAGCAAACUAACGCAGCAACAGAAAAACAAAUACUGCAUGUUCUUACUUAUAAGUGGGAGAUGACUGAUGAGGACACAUGGACCUAUUGGGGGGAACAACACACACUGGGGCCUGAGGGAGGAUGUGGGGGGGCGGUGAGAGGAUGGGGUGUGGGAUGCUGAGCUUAAUACUUCAGUGAUGGGAUGAUCUGUGCAGCAAACUACAAUUGCAUACAUUUACCUAUGUAACAAACAUGCACAUCCUACACAUAUACCCGUCAACUUAAAAGUUGGAAAUUUUAAAAAAUGAGAUAAAAAUUGCUCUACAAAAUGAAGUCUUUAAAAAAUGGGAAAAUUGUAAUCUCUUACUGAUAUCGCAGUUAUUAUGCAUCAUUUCUCAGAACCUUAUGAAGAUUAUUGCUGAAAUAGGAACCAACACAUUGUUUUUGUUAUUGAUCAGAAAGAAUUAAGAAAGCUUAGGCUGGGCACAGUGGCUCAAGCCUGUAAUCCCAGCACUUUGGGAGUCCAAGGCAGGUGGAUCACCUGAGCUCAGGAAUUCGAGACUAGCCUGGACAACAUGGCAAAACCCUGUCUCUACUAAAUAUACAAAAAUUAGUUGGGCAUAGUGGCGGACUCCUGUAAUCCCAACUUCUCAGGAGGCUGAGGCAGAAGAAUCACUUGAAUUAGGGAGGUGGUGCUCCAGCCUAGGUGACAGAGCAAGACUCCAUAUCCCCCAUGGCCUCCCCAACCCCCCCAGAAAAGAAAGUAAAAAAGAAAGCUCACCAUCUUCGUGGCACAAGCCAACAAGGUUGAAAAAGCCAAAGAUGCCAACAUUUACUGCUUUUUGAUUUUUUGAUUAUGGCCAUGCUUGCAGGAGUGAGGUGGUAUCACAUUGUGGUUUUGAUUUGCAUUUCCCUGAUCAUUAGUGAUGUUGAGCAUUUUUUUGUGUUUGUUGGCCAUUUGUAUCUCUUCUUUUGAGAAUUGUCUAUUCAUGUCCUUAGCCCACUUUUUGAUGGGGUUGUUUGUUUAUUUCUUACUGAUUUGUUUGAGUUCGUUGUAGAUUCUGGAUAUUAGACCUUUGACAGAUGUAUAGAUUGCAAAGAUUUUCUCCCACUCUGUGGGUUGUUGGUUUACUCUGCUGACGGUUCCUUUUGCCGUGCAAAAGUUCUUUAGUUUAAUUAGAUCCCAGAUAUUUAUCUUAGUUUUUAUUCCAUUUGUGAUGAACAGGGAACCCCUCUACAAUGCUUGUGGGAAUGUAAACUAGUACAGCAACUGUGGAAAACAAUGUGGAGAUUCCUUAAAAUGUAAAAGUAGAACUACCGUUUGAUCCAGGAAUCCCACUACUGGGUGUCUACCCAGAGGAAAAGAAGUCAUUAUUCGAAAAAGAUACUUGCACACACAUGUGUACAGCAGCACAAUUCACAACUGCAAAAUAGUGGAAGCAACCCAGAUAGAUGCCCACCAAUCAAUGAGUGGAUAAAGAAACUGUGAUAUAUAUACACACAAUGGAAUACUACACAGCCAUAAAAAUGAAUGAAUUAAUAACAUUUGUGGAGACCUGGAUGAGAUUGGAGACUAUUAUUCUAAGUGAUGUAACCCGGGAAUGGAAAACCAAGCAUCAUAUAUUCUCAAUGAUAUGUGGGAGCUAAGCUAUGAGGACGCAAAGGCAUAAGAACAAUACAAUGGACUCUGGGGACUUGGGGGGAAGAGUGGAAGGGAAGCGAGGGAUACAAAACUACAAAUAUGGUGCAGUGUAUGCUGCUUGGGUGAUGGAUGCACCAAAAUCUCACAAAUCACCACUAAAGAACUUAGACAUGUAACCAAAUACCACCUGUACACCAAUAACAUAUGAAAAAAUAAAAUUUAAAAAAAGCCAAAGACAAGUGAACGAAAGGAGUAAUUGAUGGCCAUGAUUUCCAAGUAGAUUUGCUGGGUCAAGAUCAAGGUCAGGGAAAAAUUUACACACUGUGAAUUUUUUUUAUCUGCACUGAAGUUGAAUAGAAAAUUUGAAUUCAUACUUAUGGGGUCACAGUAUGUCUAAUUUUAAAAUAGAU
rnacentral:lncRNA from 1 species